CGCUCUUUGCAAAAUAAUUUCAGUAUAAAGAGUUCUGCCUGCCCAGUGACGUUGUUAAACGGCCGCGGUAUCUUGACCGUGCAAAGGUAGCAUAAUCAUUUGCCUUUUAAAUGGGGGCUGGUAUGAAUGGCAAGACGGGGGUUAAGCUGUCUUUUUCUUUUGUCUUGAAAUUAAUGUUUUUGUGAAGAAGCAGAAAUUUAUUCGUGGGACGAGAAGACCCUGUCGAGCUUUAAUAAAAAUUCUAGCAGUAAUUUUGUUUAUAAAAUCUAAUUCAAUUAAGUUUUGAUUGGUAAAAAUUAGUUUUAUACAAAAAAAUUGUGUAGAAUAAUUAUUUUGGUUGGGGCAAUCGUGGAGAAAAUAGAUCCUCCAUUAAGUUAAAUAAAAGAUACAGCUUUGUUAAAUAAAAAAAUGAUCCGACUUAGGUCGAGCAAAGGAAUAAGUUACCGCAGGGAUAACAGCGUAAUUUUCUUGGAGAGUUCAUAUUGAUAAGAAAGUUUGCGACCUCGAUGUUGGAUCGGGAUUUCCUAGGGAUGCAGCAGUUUCUAAGGGUUGGUCUGUUCGACCAUUAAAAUCCU
rnacentral:rRNA from 2 species